rnacentral:rRNA from 1 species
GGGUGAGUAACGCGUGAGGAACCUGCCUCAAAGAGGGGGACAACAGUUGGAAACGACUGCUAAUACCGCAUAAGCCCACGGCUCGGCAUCGAGCAGAGGGAAAAGGAGUGAUCCGCUUUGAGAUGGCCUCGCGUCCGAUUAGCUAGUUGGUGAGGUAACGGCCCACCAAGGCGACGAUCGGUAGCCGGACUGAGAGGUUGAACGGCCACAUUGGGACUGAGACACGGCCCAGACUCCUACGGGAGGCAGCAGUGGGGAAUAUUGCACAAUGGGGGAAACCCUGAUGCAGCGACGCCGCGUGGAGGAAGAAGGUCUUCGGAUUGUAAACUCCUGUUGUUGAGGAAGAUAAUGACGGUACUCAACAAGGAAGUGACGGCUAACUACGUGCCAGCAGCCGCGGUAAAACGUAGGUCACAAGCGUUGUCCGGAAUUACUGGGUGUAAAGGGAGCGCAGGCGGGAGAACAAGUUGGAAGUGAAAUCCAUGGGCUCAACCCAUGAACUGCUUUCAAAACUGUUUUUCUUGAGUAGUGCAGAGGUAGGCGGAAUUCCCGGUGUAGCGGUGGAAUGCGUAGAUAUCGGGAGGAACACCAGUGGCGAAGGCGGCCUACUGGGCACCAACUGACGCUGAGGCUCGAAAGUGUGGGUAGCAAACAGGAUUAGAUACCCUGGUAGUCCACACCGUAAACGAUGAUUACUAGGUGUUGGAGGAUU